AUUCCUGCAUUCCCGACAUCAUAAACGACUCAGACGGAUGCGGAAACCGAGACGGCCUGGAUGGAAAACUCUUUCAAGGAAGACCCCAGGGCCCUGAACGGAAUUCCGGAUAUUUUCUCUAAAACGUACUACACCUGCCUUUUCCCACGAAGUAUCAUUCCUUGAUUCAGGAUCAGGCUCAAGAGUUAACCCACCUACGGCAGAAGAUGAAGCUUGGGAGAGUGGCCUCUGCUCUUCUCAUCCAGCAUGUCAAGAACACACUAAAGACCUUUGAGGAGCUACUCCAGAGCAAUAACAUUGACCACUAUAUGGAGCAGCACUACUGCGAGCAGCUGGCCAAAGGAAGCCAGCUGGCAGAGAGCCUUGCCAGAAAAUUCAGCACAGUAUCUUGAGGAAGAUGCAUAAUAUGAGUAAAGUGACAGAAGUCCUAGAGACCAAGUGGGAUGCCCAGUCCCAGACUCAGCCCCAGAUCUGGUGCAGCAACCACACCCGGUCUACCCCACAUCACUCCCUGAGCAGCACGUCUCCACAGCUUGACAAGGAGGAAGUGCAUCCUUCAGUGACUGCAGUCAGAGGGGGUGACGGAUCUCAGUACCUCUCACUGCUAGAAGAAAGUGUAGGUUGCCAGCCUGGUGUACAAACCUAUCUAAAGGAUCCCCUCCUGUUACCCAGGAUAUGGGUGAAGUGUCUUCUUAGUCCUUCUUACAUGAAUCAGCCUUCUAGCCUGGAAGUCUGGUAGGAAGUGGAACACCCAUGUCAGCAAACGAUGACUGUGAAAGCAAACUUGAAAAACUGGGCUCUGUGUGAAUAUCCAAUGUUGAAGCACCUUCCUGGAAUGAGUGAACAAAGUUAAGGACUUGCAGAGAGAGUUUUCUACUGGAAUGUAAGAGGUUUUUGAAGGCUCUCUUUUCUGCAAAGGCCAUGUGUAGCAAUUUUUCUAUAUACUUUCCGGUUUAAUUCGGAACUGAACAGUGGAAUUCCAAAGCACAGCUCGAGAGGAACCCAAUCUGCUUCUGUUGUGGCACCAGAGGUUUGCUUUGUUGCUGAAUCUAUAGUUGCUUCUUCAAUGACCAUUUCAAAUGACUCUGUACUCCCAUUUAACAUCUGAGCCAGAAGCCAAAUCAGGUUUUCCUCUCUCAUCAGAAGCAUCACUGAGUUUUCUAUUUGCAAGUUGGCUGGAAGCAUUCAACAUGGUGACAUAUCCGCAGAGAUGUUGUAAGUCCACUCUGUUCCUUAGUAUCUGCAAUGCUUUAUGAACACCCAUAUUGACACGAGUCUUCUUGUAGUUCUGUUUCAUCAAAUGGAAAUGGGACAUGGACAGUUUCUCCUAUCCCAUGCAGACCAUGCUCCUGAAUUAAAACUGCAGAAUGUGUUAAAGCAUCAUUCAACAUCGUGAGCACAUUUGAGGUAGGAACUACUCCAGGAUCAUGACCCCAAGAUGUUAUUAGCAAUCGAUCGUAACUCUGAAAUAUAUCUGGCAGUUUUCGAGGUCUUGUACCUUUGGAUAAUAAAAGGGAUGGUGGUCCUUGUCCAGUGA
rnacentral:lncRNA from 1 species